rnacentral:rRNA from 1 species
GAGUUUGAUCAUGGCUCAGAUUGAACGCUGGCGGCAGGCUUAACACAUGCAAGUCGAGCGGGGGAAGGUAGCUUGCUACUGGACCUAGCGGCGGACGGGUGAGUAAUGCUUAGGAAUCUGCCUAUUAGUGGGGGACAACAUCUCGAAAGGGAUGCUAAUACCGCAUACGUCCUACGGGAGAAAGCAGGGGAUCUUCGGACCUUGCGCUAAUAGAUGAGCCUAAGUCGGAUUAGCUAGUUGGUGGGGUAAAGGCCUACCAAGGCGACGAUCUGUAGCGGGUCUGAGAGGAUGAUCCGCCACACUGGGACUGAGACACGGCCCAGACUCCUACGGGAGGCAGCAGUGGGGAAUAUUGGACAAUGGGGGGAACCCUGAUCCAGCCAUGCCGCGUGUGUGAAGAAGGCCUUAUGGUUGUAAAGCACUUUAAGCGAGGAGGAGGCUACUUUAGUUAAUACCUAGAGAUAGUGGACGUUACUCGCAGAAUAAGCACCGGCUAACUCUGUGCCAGCAGCCGCGGUAAUACAGAGGGUGCGAGCGUUAAUCGGAUUUACUGGGCGUAAAGCGUGCGUAGGCGGCUUAUUAAGUCGGAUGUGAAAUCCCCGAGCUUAACUUGGGAAUUGCAUUCGAUACUGGUGAGCUAGAGUAUGGGAGAGGAUGGUAGAAUUCCAGGUGUAGCGGUGAAAUGCGUAGAGAUCUGGAGGAAUACCGAUGGCGAAGGCAGCCAUCUGGCCUAAUACUGACGCUGAGGUACGAAAGCAUGGGGAGCAAACAGGAUUAGAUACCCUGGUAGUCCAUGCCGUAAACGAUGUCUACUAGCCGUUGGGGCCUUUGAGGCUUUAGUGGCGCAGCUAACGCGAUAAGUAGACCGCCUGGGGAGUACGGUCGCAAGACUAAAACUCAAAUGAAUUGACGGGGGCCCGCACAAGCGGUGGAGCAUGUGGUUUAAUUCGAUGCAACGCGAAGAACCUUACCUGGCCUUGACAUACUAGAAACUUUCCAGAG